AUACGGAGGUUGCAAGCGUUGUUCGGAAUUAUUGGGCGUAAAGAGCAUGUAGGCGGACUGUUAAGUCUGGUGUGAAAGCCCGGGGCUCAACCCCGGAAGUGCAUUGGAUACUGGCAGUCUUGAGUAUGGGAGAGGAAAGUGGAAUUCCGAGUGUAGGAGUGAAAUCCGUAGAUAUUCGGAGGAACACCAGUGGCGAAGGCGGCUUUCUGGACCAAUACUGACGCUGAGAUGCGAAAGCGUGGGGAGCGAACAGGAUUAGAAACCCGAGUAGUCC
rnacentral:rRNA from 1 species